UCCAUUUUCAGGGCUAGUUGAUUUGGCAGGUGAGUUGUUACACACUCCUUAGCGGAUUCCAACUUCCAUGGCCACCAUCCUGCUGUCUAUAUCAACCAACCCUGAAAAUGGAUUGC